rnacentral:rRNA from 1 species
UACGAAGGGGGCUAGCGUUGCUCGGAAUCACUGGGCGUAAAGCGCACGUAGGCGGCUUUCUAAGUCAGGGGUGAAAUCCUGGAGCUCAACUCCAGAACUGCCUCUGAUACUGGAGAGCUUGAGUCCGGAAGAGGUGAGUGGAACUCCGAGUGUAGAGGUGAAAUUCGUAGAUAUUCGGAAGAACACCAGUGGCGAAGGCGGCUCACUGGUCCGGUACUGACGCUGAGGUGCGAAAGCGUGGGGAGCAAACAGG